UCCCUCAUGGACUAGUGGCUAGAUCGUGAUGCUGUCAUCGCCGCGGUCCGGGUUCGAUUCAGGGCUGGGGAA